UGAGUAAGUCAGCUUAGUUCAAGGUUACAAAGCCUUGAAGCGGGGGAACCACCCGUCAACCCAACCGGGAAGACACCGGGGCUUAUUUUCUGAGAUAUGCAGAAAAGGGACAUCUUCCAGUCCUAGCCCGUCAGCUAACCUCGUCAGCAUCGGAAGAAGACUGA
rnacentral:sRNA from 2 species